rnacentral:rRNA from 1 species
GACGAACGCUGGCGGCGUGCUUAACACAUGCAAGUCGAACGGAAAGGCCCUGCUCUUGUGGGUUGCUCGAUUGGCGAACGGGUGAGUAAAACGUGAGUAUCCUGCCCUUGACUUUGGGAUAACUUCAGGAAACUGCGGCUAAUACCGGAUAGGAGCUCCUGCUGCAUGGUGGGGGUUGGAAAGUUUCGGCGGUUGGGGAUGGACUCGCGGCUUAUCAGCUUGUUGGUGGGGUAGUGGCUUACCAAGGCUUUGACGGGUAGGCUGCCUGAGAGGGUGAACAGCGUCAAUGGGCCUGAGAUAGGCCGCAGUCGCGUAUGGGAGGCAGCAGUGGAGAACAUUACGCAGUAGGCGGAAGCCUGAGGCAGAGGCGCUGCGUGCGGGAUGCCGGGCUACGGGUUGUAAACCGCUUUGGCCUGUGACGAAGCGGGAUUGACGGUAAUUGGUAAAAAAGCACCGGCUAACUACGUG